rnacentral:rRNA from 1 species
GACGAACGCUGGCGGCGUGCCUAAUACAUGCAAGUCGAACGCAGUGGGGACGGGGGAGUAACACGUGGGUAACCUCCCAUCAGAGGGGAUAACACUUGGAAACAGGUGCUAAACCGAUACGGAUGGAGGGACCCGCGGUGCAUUGGCUAGUUGGUGAGGUAACGUCUCACCAAGGCCACGAUGCAUAGCCUACCUGAGAGUGUGCUCGGCCACACUGGGACUGAGACACGGCCCAGACUCCUACGGGAGGCAGCAGUAGGGAUUCUUCGGCAAUGGACGAAAGUCUGACCGAGCAACGCCGCGUGAGUGAAGAAGGUUUUCGGUUUGUAAAACUCUGUUGUUAGAGAAGCGGUAUCUAACCAUAAAGCCCCGGCUAACUACGUGCCAGCAGCCGCGGUAAUAC